GGUGAAGGUACUACUACUCCUUGGUCGGCACUGUGAUCUCCUCAUCCCAGUAUGUCUUCUGCUUCCCCACUGGCAUUUCAAAAUGCGAAUGAAGGCUCUCUUGAAUUCCUUGCUGGAGCAGGGAUAAAUGAUGGGGUUGAUGCAGCUGUUGAAGUAUCCAAGCCAAAAUAUAACUUUCCUCAGAGUUUCAGGUGGCUCCAGCUGUUUGAAGAUUGAAGCU